rnacentral:rRNA from 1 species
UGAGUAACCUGCCCUUAACUCUGGGAUAAGCCCGGGAAACUGGGUCUAAUACCGGAUAUGACUCCUCAUCGCAUGGUGGGGGGUGGAAAGCUUUUUGUGGUUUUGGAUGGACUCGCGGCCUAUCAGCUUGUUGGUGAGGUAAUGGCUUACCAAGGCGACGACGGGUAGCCGGCCUGAGAGGGUGACUGGCCACACUGGGACUGAGACACGGCCCAGACUCCUACGGGAGGCAG